UCAGAACGAACGCUGGCGGCGUGGAUAAGACAUGCAAGUCGAACGAGAGAAUUGCUAGCUUGCUAAUAAUUCUCUAGUGGCGCACGGGUGAGUAACACGUGAGUAACCUGCCCCCGAGAGCGGGAUAGCCCUGGGAAACUGGGAUUAAUACCGCAUAGUAUCGAAAGAUUAAAGCAGCAAUGCGCUUGGGGAUGGGCUUGCGGCCUAUUAGUUAGUUGGUGAGGUAACGGCUCACCAAGGCGAUGACGGGUAGCCGGUCUGAGAGGAUGUCCGGCCACACUGGAACUGAGACACGGUCCAGACACCUACGGGUGGCAGCAGUCGAGAAUCAUUCACAAUGGGGGAAACCCUGAUGGUGCGACGCCGCGUGGGGGAAUGAAGGUCUUCGGAUUGUAAACCCCUGUCAUGUGGGAGCAGAUUAAAAAGAUAGUACCACAAGAGGAAGAGACGGCUAACUCUGUGCCAGCAGCCGCGGUAAUACAGAGGUCUCAAGCGUUGUUCGGAAUCACUGGGCGUAAAGCGUGCGUAGGCUGUUUCGUAAGUCGUGUGUGAAAGGCGCGGGCUCAACCCGCGGACGGCACAUGAUACUGCGAGACUAGAGU
rnacentral:rRNA from 1 species